rnacentral:rRNA from 1 species
UAAGGAAUAUUGGUCAAUGGGCGCAAGCCUGAACCAGCCAUGCCGCGUGCAGGAAGACGGCCCUCUGGGUUGUAAACUGCUUUUAUUCGGGAAUAAACCUUUCUACGUGUAGGAAGCUGGAUGUACCGAAGGAAUAAGGAUCGGCUAACUCCGUG